UACGUAUUCCCUCCGUCCAGAAAUACUUGUUGGAGAAAUGCAUAAAAAUAAAUGUAUCUAAAACUAGAAUACAUUUAGAUACAUCCAUUCCUCUGACGAGUAUUUUCGGACGGAGGGAGUACAUA
rfam:Triticum aestivum genome assembly, contig: Triticum_aestivum_CS42_TGACv1_scaffold_405537_5BL